rnacentral:rRNA from 1 species
ACAUGCUUACAAUAUAGCGUUAAUGCAUUGAAUCCCAUUAGAACUUUGCAGUUAAGCGUGCUCAGGCUAGAGUAGUAUUGGGAUGGGUGAACGCCUGGAAAGUCCUAGUAUUUUACAUGCC